AGUGAACGCUGGCGGCAGGCCUAACACAUGCAAGUCGAGCGAGCGGCGGACGGGUGAGUAAUGUAUGGGGACUGCCCGCUAGAGGGGGAUAACUACUGGAAACGGUAGCUAAUACCGCAAACUAUCGGAUACCACAUAUUGGAUGAGCGAGUAGGUGAGUUAGUGGCUCACCUAGGCGACGAGGUCUAGCUGGUCUGAGAGGAUGAUCAGCCACACUGGGACGAAGAUACUGCACAGCAUCCUACGGAGGCAGCAGUGGGGAAUAUUGCACAAUGAGCGCAAGCCUGAUGCAGCCAACCCGCGUGUCUGAUGAAGGCCUUCGGGUUGUAAAGGACUUUAGGCAGAGAAGCGGUACCUGCAGAAUAAGCACCGGCUAACUACGUGCCAGCAGCCGCGGUAAUUC
rnacentral:rRNA from 1 species